UACGAGGGGUGCAAGCGUUGCUCGGAAUUAUUGGGCGUAAAGGGUAGGUAGGUGGUCUCAUUUGUCUGGGGUGAAAGCCUUGAGCUUAACUCAAGAAGUGCCCCAGAAACGGUGAGACUAGAGUCCUGGAGAGGGUCGUGGAAUUCCCGGUGUAGCGGUGAAAUGCGUAGAGAUCGGGAGGAGCACCAGAGGCGAAGGCGGCGACCUGGACAGGUACUGACACUCAACUACGAAAGCGUGGGGAGCGAACAGG
rnacentral:rRNA from 1 species